AGCUUUUUCCCAAGGGAAGAACCCAGAAGCAGCUCAGGUAGAGUGCAGUUGUCGGUUGCCCGGUCCUGUUUUAACCUGAAGAAAUCGAGAAGCGCCAGGAGGGUGCCGCUCCCAUUCCAGUCAUCUCCAAAGUGGUCCUGUUUAAAGACAGAGCAAAGGACCUGUAUCCUCAUCAUCUGGAGAGGCAGACACCUACCUACACUUUAUGACCUGCCUUCAAGAAAAUCCUGGGGGCAGGCUCGGAGUGGAAGAGAGGUGUUCCCCCAGGCCCCAGAGUAGCCUUCCUCCAACAUCCACACAGGGCCUCAACCUCCAAGUCUUCACCUGGAGAGAAAGAAGUCCUGAUUCCAAAUCAAAGCCCUACUUUGACAAUUGCACCAUGGGAUUCACACCAAAAUUACAAUCCUGACCUCUGAAGAAUGGAAGCAGCCGAUCCCCAAGCCGACCCACAAUUUCUCUGUAUCCGGGACUGCAGUUUAAGCCGAGCUAUUUUCUCCUCAAUUUGGGAGCUCGCGCAGCCGGAGGCCAUGAGCCAACUACCACCUUCCCAGGGCGGACUGUGAAGAAGAGUUUUGGUCCCGAAGAGGACCGGCCUUUCCCGUCCCCAUGUCCCCUUAAGCACUCUCCAGUCCCCUCUCUCCCGUUGUUUUCUCCUCCUCCCUAGACAGCUGGGGAGAAGCAGUGCGGGUCCCCACGUGCCUGGGCUAGAAAAGGGGGGCUUGCCCACCCCUCCAAGGUCUAGAGCUGGAUCCUCUUCCAAACACAGGAGGGGAGAGGAG
rnacentral:lncRNA from 1 species